CGGAAUCAUUCACAAGCAAGGGCAGAGAAGAAGUGCAAAGGUUUGCCUUUCAAAUUUCCCCAAAGAUAAAGGACUGAAACUACUUUGGAAAAAACUCCUCGAAAAGUGUUUGGUCAGUGUUUGAAACAGCAAGCCUUAAAUUUUAUCCGUGAUGUCACAUAAAAAUGAAUUCAUAAAACUUUUUAAAGGGCACAUUUAAAAAUAUAUGGUUCCUUGGACUGUCUUCUACUUCUUAGUGGCAUAGGCGUUUCCCUUCAAGAUGACAAGUGGCUCAAACUCUUCAGAAUCUGGUUUGUCCUCAAAAAGGAAUCCUAAAACAUAUGACAACUACUUGAAAGAAUUGAACGAGGACUUAAAGUUAAGGAAGCAGGAACUUCUAGAGAUGCUGAAACCUCUGGAAGAUAAGAACAAUCUCUUAUUGCAGAAGUUAAUGGCUAACUUGGAGGAAAAGCAGAGGAGUCUGCAGAUCAUGAGGCAGAUCAUGGCCGGGAGGGGAGGUGAUGAAUCUUCAGUCGAGGAGCUUAUUAAGGAAGCCCAGGAGAUGAAGCAGAACCUGACAUUUGAGUCAGAAGAGCUCCGUGGUCAACAGAAAGCAUUACCAAAAAAGUCCAAGGCAGACAUGCAAGAUGGGAAGGCUCAGAAAUCCUCCUUAUCACUUUGGAAGGUCAAGAGUGAGUCAGAGAAACCAGACAUCGACAAAGUGGGAGACAUACGGAAGAAGAUCUUUCUUCCAUCAGGAAAAGCAACAGAGGAAAAUAAAAUGGGUCAAAUAUGAGGAGCAACCCAACAUCCUUCAGAGAAUCCCAGGAUCAAAGAGCUACAAGAAGGAACUAGAGAAAGUCAUAUGAUGAUGUAGGACAGAGGCUCUUUUUUCUGAAGUCAAUGCCAGAUGAAGCUCUGAAGGAUUAGAAGGCUUUCACUACAUUUGCUUUGGACAGAUGCGAAGACUAGAAUAUUGACAUCUUAUCAAAUAUUAUCAAAAUUCCAGCAAAAUUCUUCACAGAACUAGAAAAAAAAGAAACAUGAAAUUCAAGGAGAAGCAUAAAAGACUCUGAGUAGUCAAAGCAAGUCUAAGCAGAGUGGGCAAUGCUAAAAGUAACAGGAUAUCUGAUUUAGGAAGCCACAGUAACAAACCAAUAUUGUAUCAUCAUAGAAACAGUCACAUAGACCAAUAAAUACAACGUCAGAGGACUCAGAAAUACAUCCAAAUAUCUACGGUCAUCUGACUCUUGACAAAGGUACCCAAAGCAUCUGUUAGAAGAUACCUCCUCAAAAGAUGGGGCUAUGAAGACUAGAUAGCACACGAACAAGACUGAAAUGACCUCUUUCUCUACAUUCUCUGCAUAAAAAUCAAUUAAAAAUGGAUCAAAAAUUGACAUGCCUGAAGAAAUCAUAUGGAAAACACCUGAAGAUACAGAAACAGCCAAUGGCUUCCAAAAUAGGAUUUCAAUAACUCAGGAAGGAAUGGCAAGAAUUGACAAAUGAGAUGUAAUCGAAGUAAGCUUCUGCACAGUAAAGGAAACAAUUACUGGAGUAAAGGAAACUGCAUGCAGAUAGGAGAAAGAAAUAAGUCCUGUUUUGCUGGACACGGUGGUACAUACCUGUAAACCAGAACUACUCAGGAAAUAGGAAGCAAGGAGAUUGAAUCUUCAAUAAAUGAAGUCAUAAUAGAACCCUUUCAAGAAAUCAAUCAGAAAUAACAGUUGGGAUAUCAGCAAGAUGGCUAACUGCAGGUUAUGAAAGCCUGUGCUCCUCAUCAAAAGGACCCAAACACAAACCACUAUUUGGGGAGUGUGUGUGUGUGUGUGUGUGUGUGUGUGUGUGUGUGUAUGGGAGGGGGUUACUGGCAGGGAGGUUGGAAAGUACAUAGUGGAACAGGAACGCUAAGGAUGACCCCACAGAAUAGAAUGAAAUAUCCUUUC